rnacentral:rRNA from 1 species
UACGAAGGGGGCUAGCGUUGCUCGGAAUUACUGGGCGUAAAGGGAGCGUAGGCGGACAUUUAAGUCAGGGGUGAAAUCCCAGAGCUCAACUCUGGAACUGCCUUUGAUACUGGGUGUCUUGAGUGUGAGAGAGGUAUGUGGAACUCCGAGUGUAGAGGUGAAAUUCGAUAGAUAUUGGAAGAACACCAGUGGCGAAGGCGACAUACUGGCUCAUUACUGACGCUGGAGGCUACGAAAGCGUGGGGAGCAAACAGG